CACCUGCCUGUGAACGGGGGGAGUAGACGGGGUGGUCCGUUUAAGAGAGCCUGGACAAGGUGCGAGCCGGGUACGGAGAACCGUCGAAAAUCACCCGGGAGGCGCCGUCUGAAACCUUGCUGUGGGAUUAAGAAGGGCCGGCUUGCCACCGUUAUCGGGCGCGAAGCGGCUGGUUUUUGACAGAGAGCGUAUCUCAAGCCUUUGCCUUAAAGACCAGCAGUUAGGGUGGUACCGCGGGUCUUCAAUCCCGUCCCUUGG
rnacentral:ncRNA from 1 species